ACCGGAUCAGCACUUCCUUUCUCUCUGAGGCACGUCAGCUUUGACAGGCCUGUUCUGACCUUCCUGUUAAAGGCAGGAGAGCUUUCGAGUUCAGACUUCAAGACGCCUGCACCCAUUAUAUUAAAAUCUGGUCACUGGAACCCGAAAUCGUGGGGAAACAACAGGGAGUGGAUAGGUUGUAGCUACCUACCAGAACCCUCUUAUCCAUGAUGCCUUCAAUUGCUCCCCAUGACAGGAAGGCCAGUUCUGAGUGAAAGGUGAUUUGAGAGAUGCCACGACCGCCUUUUCGCAGUGCCUGGAGGCUGUGGGGGUCUGGAUGAACCCUGGUAAGACAGAGUGGC